GUGGGAAUUUCCUUCUGAUGCAAUUACUCCACAGCCGGUAAUUUGAAAAAUACUACUAUCGAAAAUGUUAUUGAAUCCUUGCGAUUGCCGUUGAGAUAUUGGAACUGACCAAACAAGUUAUAAGACAGGGGUCACCAUACGAUUUAUCAAGUUUAUUUGAUGUUCAGUUCAGAGCAGUGAUUUGCCUAGAAGGAUGUUAGUGUUGUGGUUUAUAGGUAUUAUUUUGGGAAUAUCGGUUAGGGGGAUAGAUCUUACCACUCUCCCUGAAGACAUUUACUAUCCCAGUAACAAUUGGUCUGACACGUUUGACUGGAAAAUUUUUAAGGUGAGUC